UCCAUCUCAGUUGUUUCUAUACAGUAUAAAAAAUAAAAACAAAGAAUAGCCUAGCCUAAACUACUGUUGCACACCAAAGAAUAUAUUAUUGUUCAUAGCCUAGCACGGUUCUAUCUUACAAUAAUCUUUCAUACUCUCGGAAAUUACUUAUCUAGUAAUAGCAAUCAUAAAUUUGGUAUAUCAUUCAUUGAGUAUGUAUGUUUAGUUAUGUUUUUGCUUAUCUUUCAAUCUUAAUACAACUUUUAUUCGGUUUUAGUCAUGGUAUAUUUCUACUAUUAUCAAUUUGUUUAAUCAGUGAUGGUUUGUUAACUGAAUAUAUAUCUUACAAGAUAAAUUAGACUAUGUAAACAAAUAGAUACACAUGUGAUUUAUAGUUUGAGUAAUAAAAACAAUAACGAAUAUAUAUCAGACUUCAUUUUUUGUCUUGUUAAAAAUCUAAUUAAUAAGAAAACAAACACAUGGAUUACUUUAAACGAAUAGCAAUCCUCGUUUAUAUCAUUAAAAAACAAUUUAGUCAGGAAAAAAGACGUUCAAUUCACUAAAAAUCUAGAAAAAGAAGCUCAUUUGACCACAGUUCCUCCCUCAUGGUGUCAGUUUUCUCUAAUAACUCGUGCGGAGAGGGUGUUCACUUCUCACCUCUGGCUCAAAAUCGAAUUACCCUCAUUAACAUCAAUUUGGGAGCAACCAGAUCGCCAAAAGAUGGGUGUGACGUUACUGUUACUGUGUGCGUGUGUGUGUGCGGUAGCGGGUCGGGGGGCCACAUGGGGACUGCCGCAAGUACGCCGUCGAACCCACGCCCAUGACAUAUGUCAGGGCGGGGUGCGAUGGGCCGAACCCCCACUGUGCUCUUAAUGUGACCCUCCACCCGCCAUCACCACCACCACCACGGAAAUCACUACUGCCACCACCACCGCCACCGCGUGAAUCACCACCACCACCACCACCUGACCACAUUUCGUAAGAUGAUUUGCACCAUGAAGGAGACGGCCUGGGUGUAGGGCAUCUGCCAGAGCAACCAUCUCACCCACCGCAGCUUGUCCCUACAGGUGGCGAAGGUGUGACGCAAACUUACCUGAGAACACAUGUUGCGCCGAGGCCCCUCAGUGCUCCUAAUUGUGGCUCGAGCUUCAGCGGGUGGGCAACAGUCUGGCCGCGCCCCUCAACAAGCAGCCAGUAGCUCACACCGGAGACUACAGCGAUGCCAUCUACGCCGCGAACUUGGCCUUGGAACUCAACCGGCUGGAGGACGACAAGAAGGGUGUUUACAUAGACUUCAUCUCCGCCGCCUACAUAAAUCCCCAGAUCCCCCGCGCUCUCCCCCCUGACCUCCAACGGCUGUCCAGGGGAGCACCGUCCCCCCCAGGCUUCCCCGCUGUGGCUGUGUCCACCUCCUCCGCCUCCUUCGGUCCCCGCGCCCCCGCUGGCUUCCCCCGCCCAGGUGUAGGGGCUCAUCGCUUCCCCUUCGCCCGUGGAGCCGGAAGAAGAUAACCUCCCCAAUUCCCCAUCCCCCAUGAGCUCCCCAUCUUCCCCUCUCUCCCCAUCAUCUCCCCUCCCCCCGCCACCCCCACGAACGCCUCGACAUCAUAACCACUACAAGAAGAUGAUGAUGAAGAGAAAGGAUAAGGAGAGUAAAUAGAAGAGAAGGGUCAAGAAAAAGAAGGGAAAAAGAAGAAAAAGAUAAUGAUGAAGGAAGGAAGAAGAGAAAGAUAAUAAUGAAGAAAGGAAGAAAGGAAACAAAGAUGAAAAGGAAGAAAGGAAGAAGAAAAGAACGCAAAUGGUAAAGAAAGGAAAAAUUAAGAGAAAGAUAAUGAUAAAAGAAGGAAGAAGAAGAGAAAGGUAAUAAUGAAGAAAGGAAGAAAAGGAAACAGAUGAAGAUGAAGAAAGGAAGAAGAAAAAAAAGCAAAUGAUAAAGAAAGGAAAAAAAGAAGACAGGUUAUGAUAAAGAAAGGAAAAUUAAAAGAAUGAAAAAGAAUAAAAAGAUAGAGAAAAGAUAAAGCAAAUGAGAAGAAGAGAUAAUGAUGAUGAUAAUGAUGGUAAUAUAGGAAGUUAUGAUAAAGAAAGAAGAAAAGAAGAUGAUGAUAGAGAAAGAAAAUAAAGAUAAUAAUAAUAAAAAUAAUAAUAAUGAUAACGUCAGCUAUAACGAAUAAAAAAAAAGAGAAUAGUAAUAAUAAUGAUGAUAAUAGUUAAAGAAAUGAUAAGAAUGAGUAUCUAGAAUUUCUGGUAAUUUUAUUUGUGUUUAUUUUUAUUUCAAUGUCAUUUCAGAAUUUUCAGGAACUUCUUUUUUUAAUCUGUAUCAAGUUUUAUUCAAUUUCCGUCACGGUAUUUGUGUUUUUAUUAGUUUAUUUCCGUGUAUGUUCCCUUUCAUUUUAUUUUCACUUUUUUAUUCAUAUUCUUGCAACUUUAUUAUGAUUUUACCGAUAGAUUUUUGUUUUCACUUCCACUGCAUUUUUCUUUUAUUCUUUGCUAUGUGAUUUUGCUUCAUUUUAUCUGUUUAUUUUUUUAUCUAUGUUUGUUUUCAGUUUUUUUUCAUACAGUUCAUAGUUUUGUAUUUAGGCUUCUUUUGAAUGGCAUGUAUUGCUUUAAAUUUUCGUUGUUGUUUUUUUAUAUACAGUUCAAUUUUAAGGUUUUCAUUUGUAUAUUUCAUUUUUAUCUAUUUAUUUUUCUCUAAACCGUCAUAUUUUUCUUGCUUUUUUUUUCUUUGUAUUUUUUCGUUCGGGAUCUUUCGGUGCAUAUACAGCGCAUCCAAAUACUAUACGGUGCUAGUGUUGGAAUAAUUCUCUCUCUCUCUCUCUCUCUCUCUCUCUCUCUCUCUCUCUCUCUCUCUCUCUCUCUCUCUCUCUCUCUCUCUCUCUCUCUCUCUCUCUCUCUCUC